AGCAUAAGGUAGCUUACUUCAAGAUUAGCAUCACAUGCUUUCUUGUAAACAUUCUUAACGGCAGCAGAUGCUUUAUCAGUAGGUUCUUCUGGUAAUGGGGUGUCCAGAACAUUUUUCUUUUCCCUGAGAACAAUUCUUAGGUUACAAAUCCAAUCCGUAUAGUUUAUCCCAUUCAGCUUGUCCUUCUCAAGGACUGAACACAAAGCAAACGGUGUGGUGUUGCUAGGUGCCAUUUAUCUACAACAAAUAAUAAUGCAAAAUACUACGAUGAAAGUAUCCAUGAGAGAGUAAAUCACAUUAAACUUUUAUUAGAAUCUACUCCCACUAAAAUCAAUAUCCCUCUAUUGGUACUUAGUAAGUCAGGAUCCACAACUAACAAGUCUACUAGUGAGCUUUAGCAUCACCGCUAGCAGUCAAGGUAGAUCGGUAAGCAACUCCUUGCUAAUCAUAUCACAUAUGACUCCUUUUGUUGGGUGACAUCUCCAUGUCUUGAUGCCCAACCUUCAUGCCCCAUAGUCCUUAACCGUUAAGAUGACCUUGUUUAAGCAAACCAACCCUUAUGCGUGUAAGUAUCUGAUACAAACUCGUCUAGU
rnacentral:lncRNA from 1 species